UACGUAGGUGGCAAGCGUUGUCCGGAAUUAUUGGGCGUAAAGCGCGCGCAGGCGGUCCUUUAAGUCUGAUGUGAAAGCCCACGGCUCAACCGUGGAGGGUCAUUGGAAACUGGGGGACUUGAGUGCAGGAGAGAAGAGUGGAAUUCCACGUGUAGCGGUGAAAUGCGUAGAGAUGUGGAGGAACACCGGUGGCGAAGGCGGCCCUCUGGACCGGUACUGACGCUGAUGCGCGAAAGCGUGGGGAGCAAACGGG
rnacentral:rRNA from 1 species